AACGCGAAGAACCUUACCUGGUCUUGACAUCCACGGAAGUUUUCAGAGAUGAGAAUGUGCCUUCGGGAACCGUGAGACAGGUGCUGCAUGGCUGUCGUCAGCUCGUGUUGUGAAAUGUUGGGUUAAGUCCCGCAACGAGCGCAACCCUUAUCCUUUGUUGCCAGCGGUCCGGCCGGGAACUCAAAGGAGACUGCCAGUGAUAAACUGGAGGAAGGUGGGGAUGACGUCAAGUCAUCAUGGCCCUUACGACCAGGGCUACACACGUGCUACAAUGGCGCAUACAAAGAGAAGCGACCUCGCGAGAGCAAGCGGACCUCAUAAAGUGCGUCGUAGUCCGGAUUGGAGUCUGCAACUCGACUCCAUGAAGUUCGGG
rnacentral:rRNA from 1 species